AGGCUGAUCCUUCAUGCUUAUUAAUGAAAGGUAUAUGAUCUAUGGGAAGCAUUCGAGUGUGUCAAAGCAAAGGAAUAUUUAUCCGCGAGGGGAGCAUCAGUACUACCACUUUUGGAUGAUUCAGAAUUAUUGAGUAAGGAGUGGCAAGAUGUUGUGAAGAAAAAUAGUUCCUUGUGAAAAAGUGAACUUUGGGAUUGCCUUGUAACAACUGAAUGCAGUAUUCCAGCUCAAUAUCUGCAUAAGACAUGUGGAUGACACAUUAUCAUUUGUAUAUAUCAGCGUUAAAGGACUUUUGUUUUUACACUGUGCAAGUCUUCCAUCAGAUGUUACAAGAUGCUGCUGUAUGAAGGAUUGAUACCAACUUGAUGAAUGGUAUAGAUCUGAAAAACUGGAAGAAGUAACCAAAGAUGGUCGUUUGUAGUGUUCCAACUGCUUCAGGAAAGAAUUCUACUCCUCUUUUUUCGAUGCUUCUUAUUGUGAUGUCACUUUGUGCAGUCGGGAUCGUCAAUUGAGACUCAUCAUAGAUGCUGGUGAUGUUUCCACAUGUUAAUAAGAGCAGCUUCAGGAAAGAAUGUUCGUCUACUCGUCUUCGAUUGUGAUGUCACUUUAGGCAGUGAGGAUGUUCAGUUGACUCGUCAUAGAUGCUGGUGAUGUUUCCACUUGUUAAGGCAGGAUCAGGAUUUUUUUUUGUUCCAACUUUCAGUGAGGAUUGUCAGUUGACUCGUCAUAGAUGCUGGUGAUGUUUCCACUUAUUAGGAGCAGGAUCUUGCGGUGAUGAUUGUCCGUUGACUUGUCAUAAAUGACCUUGAUGUUUUCACUUAUUGAGAGAAGCAGUGCUCUGAAGUAAAAGCUGUCUGACGAAUCAUAGUUAUAUUUAUUGCAGAUGCAUCUUCGUAUUCUACAACAAUGAAUAAAUGCAGAUCGCUUCCUAUAAUAAGAUGUGUUUAAAUUGUGUUACUUUUUUGUUGGGUAU